UUCUUCUUAAAUCAGAUAAUUUCUGUUAAAAUUAUGGGGAAAAGAUACAUUGUAAUUAUUAUUUAUAUUAUUAUUAGACAUUCAUCUUAAUACUAAAGGCAUUAAGAAUAACGUCAGGAAAAUAUAUGAGAUUUCCAGAGGAAACUAUCCAUGGAAACCUCACAUAAAAGAAGACAAGAGAAUGAAAUUACCUGAUUCAAAUCAGUUUAGGUCAUUCUUGGAAAAUAUUAUCUUAGAGCACUUGCUCUCUGUGGAAUUGCAAACAAAAAAAUCAUAGAGGAAAACGUCUUCCCUUGUGUAGGAGAAAGUAUAGUUAAGACAGAUAAGAAGAAACAAAGACAUAAGAAAGGAAAUAACAGAUCGCUUGAGACAAGAAAAGGGUCUGAAAGGGAAAGAAUAAUUCAGAAAGUGUAUACUUUGUGUCCUGUGGGUGCUCCCGACAUCAAAAAUAAGAGUAUAAUCUAUUUCAGGGCUUUAUAUUCCUGAACAGCCGGAACAGCCACAAACUACUGCCAGUAAUUUAGCAGAGAUGCUGUGUCAAGGACAAAAUCCACACCCCCAACCUCAUACUUAACCAAAUUGCAUGCAAUUGCCUACGACUAGUCCUUCUUGGAAUCCUCUUAUCAUGGCAAACAUCCCUGGUAUUCUAAACAGUGUCAUGAAGGGGGGGAAAUAAAAAUAUCAUGAGCCCAGGGCACAAAUUUUCUGU
rnacentral:lncRNA from 1 species